rnacentral:rRNA from 1 species
AACGAACGCUGGCGGCAUGCCUAACACAUGCAAGUCGAACGAAGCCUUCGGGCUUAGUGGCGCACGGGUGCGUAACACGUGGGAAUCUGCCCUUUGGUUCGGAAUAACAGUUAGAAAUGACUGCUAAUACCGGAUAAUGACGUAAGUCCAAAGAUUUAUCGCCGAAGGAUGAGCCCGCGUAGGAUUAGGUAGUUGGUGGGGUAAUGGCCCACCAAGCCGACGAUCCUUAGCUGGUCUGAGAGGAUGAUCAGCCACACUGGGACUGAGACACGGCCCAGACUCCUACGGGAGGCAGCAGUGGGGAAUAUUGGACAAUGGGCGAAAGCCUGAUCCAGCAAUGCCGCGUGAGUGAUGAAGGCCUUAGGGUUGUAAAGCUCUUUUACCAGGGAUGAUAAUGACAGUACCUGGAGAAUAAGCUCGGCUAACUCCGUAGCCAGCAGCCGCGGUAAU